UACGAAGGGGGCUAGCGUUGCUCGGAAUCACUGGGCGUAAAGCGCACGUAGGCGGAUUGUAAGUCAGGGGUGAAAUCCUGGAGCUCAACUCCAGAACUGCCCUUGAUACUGGCGGUCUCGAGUCCGGGAGAGGUGAGUGGAACUGCGAGUGUAGAGGUGGAAAUUCGUAGAUAUUCGCAAGAACACCAGUGGCGAAGGCGGCUCACUGGCCCGGUACUGACGCUGAGGUGCGAAAGCGUGGGGAGCAAACA
rnacentral:rRNA from 1 species